AGUCUUAUAGUCAAGUUAUGAUGUUAGAUUGCAAAUCUGAAGGAGUAAAUUUAGUUUACUAAGGCUU
rnacentral:tRNA from 1 species